UGGGGAAUCAAAACUUUCCCAAAGAAUUACUCUCUCCUCCAAUGUAAAAAGAACGAGGUUUCCAGUGUCCAACAGUAGCAAUCGCAAUGGAGAUAUUGACACAGUGUCGGAGGCCCAAACCGUAAGUUGAGCAGCGUCGGUCAAGACGAGAUUGCCAUUUUUGAGAAGGGAGAGCUUCGAGAGUCUUCCGUUAACGGGUUGGUCCCCCGAUUGGCCACCAGACUAUAUGUGAUUCCCCAUUGUAAAUGGUUCCGCGAACCAUAAUGCGAGCAAUAAGCAUUUUCGCGACUGUAAAGCGGCGGAGAAUACUUUGUUUGUGGAGCCAAACGUCGCUGUUGGCUUCUCCACAUAUAGAUAUUGCUCCUUUCGUUAAGCUAUUUGGUGGUUGAAGGUGAAGAAUGAAAAUGAAGAUGGUUGGUAGUGAGGUACCAGGUAUUAUUAGCAGAAUCAACCAUGGCGUACCCAUUGAAGGCCUUGUUUAGUUGUUUGCACUAUAGAUAUCAUAUAUUUAUAUAUAUAUAUAUGAAUUAUUUGUUUGGUUUUGAUUCUAUAUAUAGAGAAAAUCAACUUCCAUGUUAUUAGCAAGAAUCUUAUCAAUUACCAUUUUGCACUUGCAUGAGCAGGUUCACCAUCGAUAAAAUGAGACUAGAAUCUUAUCCGUAAUCUGACAAAAUCCAAGUAGGGCCGAACUUUAGUGAAUAAACUUUAACUCGACAUUAUUUACAUUUAUAAAAUAUUUCAUAUUUUUAGUUUGUAUAUGUUACUUAAAAGUAUGCUUUCCAAUAAAACAUUCGGAUGAGACACAAUAAACCUCCUUGUGUUGGGUAAUUAGUAACAGGAAAAUCUAGUGGUAAUCUGAGAUUAUGGAAGCGCUGUUUUGGAUUAAAGAUUUUGUACAAAUACAAACAAAAAAAAUUAGAAUUCAAAGGUUUUAAAUUUAAUUUUUUUCUUUAACUUUCUUUUUUCCGAGAAGGUUCGACAUGAUUAUCUCCCUUUUUUCUUCUUCCAAGAAAUACGAAGUUAUAAAGUCUCUCAUAUAAUAUUUAUCUUGUUCAUUUAACAAAGUGCAGAAAUUGACAUGUGAUGUAUUUUUGAUAUUUAAAAUGUUUAUUACUUGGUGAGUAGGUGGUCAACGACACUUAGCUGGGAAGUUUCUAACAGCUCAUCAAUGUAAAAAAGGAAAAAAAAAAAUGUGGCUAUGGGAGUGUUUUAUAAUGGACAAUGGUGGAAUCGAGGGACCAAGCUUGUGAAAAUAUGCUGUCUCUUCCUCUUGAAUUGACUUGAAAAAAUGGGUUUUGGUCCAAUAUGGGGGUGGUGGGAUUUUUCAAGACAAAAAUACCCUUCUUGAUCUUCAAAAUUACAAAAAAAUGUCAUUCUACUCUUCUCCUUCUUCCUCCUCUCUCUCUCUCUCCCUCCCUUACCUUCUCCCUCUCCUUCAAAUUCCGACCAUUGCUUAGUUUUUAUUUUGGGUGGGGUUAUCUAAGAAAUCAAAUCAUUAAAUUAAGUUACCCAACUUUACUCAAGACAUGGAAGAUUUCAUUUGGAGCAUCAGACCCAUCAUGGCAUCCACAAGUCGAGCGAUGUAAUAAAACAAAUUAUAGCUCAAAUACAAAAAGAGCAGGAGGGAGAUUUGAGAGCUAGUUUCCAAAACACUAACCAUAGAAGCCCACCAAAAAAAGCUUAAAAACGAUACAUCCUCAAUCCCAACAUAAAAGAAAAUAGAUAUCUAUCAUCAAAGCAAUACUAAUAUUUAAGUGUUCUAAGACAUGCCAUCCGGACAUUAUUAGAUUCUAUGGAAUAAAAUGCAUAAGGUAAAGUAUCAAAUUUACCACCAAGCAAAACGCACUGUUAUUACAUAUACGUUAACAAAGGAAUUUCUUUUAGGACUUUUAUCGAACAGUUAACAUGAACAAAUAUAUUGUUGGAAAAUCAUUCAAUCAAUCAAGAUACAUAAACCCAUAAUCCAAGGAAAUGAAAAAAAAAUGCAUCACUUGAAUUUUUUCUGUUAUCGGCCAAUUGACAGGUUACAAGCCAACAACACGUAAAGUGUACAGCUUCCUAGAAAACAUGAGUAGUAUGAAAAAGACUUCUCAAUAGUUUUGAAGGUUUCAUAUUAACGAUAAAGUUGACCUAUUUGAACUUAUCAAAGCUCGCUUUGUUUGUAUACGGUAAUUAUUGAGAAUACAUCAAUAUAUAUAUAUAUAAUAUAUAUAUAUAUAAUAUAUACAUAAUAUAUAUAACAUAGGUAGAUUGAUACUUGUAGUCUGACCAAUAAAAUUAUUUGUUUGGUGAACAGUAAUUAGUUUUAGAAUAAGUCAUCAUUCUUUAAAUUAAUUUAUUCUAUAGUUACCAUAUCCGAUCAAUCUAAUAUUUUUAUUUGCAUGAAUUAUUUUCUGAGCAUUUCUGCAAAAUUUACACGUCGAAUGACUAAAAUAAACUUCAAGUGACCUAUAAUGGGGACCAACUUUAAAUAAAAAUUCAAAUGACAAAAGAAGGUGUAUCCAAAAGGACCAAAACUUAAUGGGUUUACCCUACUAAAAUGUGGGGUGGGGUGGGGUGGGGUGGGGUGGGGGUUUUUUUUUUUGGGGGAAAUCUACGAACACAAAUUUGUUCACCACCUCAUAUCUCAAUCAAUUCUAAACAGUGGAUGAGCCACUAUUUUUCUUAAUAUAAUUUAUCAUAAAUAUAACAUUGACUCUACAAAAAUUAGUAAUUUAUCUUAAAUUUUUAAUAUUCUACACUUUUAACCCUACUUGAUUUCAUUUUGGCUCCGUCUUGAUUCUAAAAAUGAGGCUAAUGUCAUACACUUGUUAAGUAUGUUAGUUAACGAAUUGGACUUGGCCGGUUAUAGUAUGCUCGUACACUCCAACCGAAGCCAGUUAGAAUCUUCUUAUUACUAGUGCCAAUAUGCAAUGAUUUGUGAAAACAUGAUUGAUUUUGCUAUCAAUCUUUUAAGGCAUAUUAGUAAAUUCCAUUCUACGCUAGCCAAUGCUCAAUUUAUGGAUUGUAGUAACUGAUUUUACAAAAGCUCGUGUCACAAGAGUCAGAGUACUGGAUUGUAGUCAUCAGUCAUUGUGUGUUCGGGAUUUGUUUCUACUUUCAACAAUUGGUUUUAUCUUGCACCGUCCCAGUCAUAGUCUUCUAUUGCGGCGGGUCAUAGUCUUCUAUUGGGUCGGCUAGUCAUGGUCUUUGAUUGCGGCUAGUCAUGGUCUUAGAUUGGCGGGGUUGCCUCAAAGUCUCCUUCGACGUCUCCUUUGAAGCUCUAAUAGAGGGAGCUAAAGAAAAGAGAUAAGAGAGUGAAGAGUGUGUGCAAGGGACAAGUUUUAUACUUGUGGAGAGUGUGUUUCUUGAUGAGUGGGUGUAUAAGGGAUUGUGUGUGGGGUAUUCAUACUCAAUAUACUUGUACUAUUUUUUACUCAUAGUAAAUACGGUUCCUCUUCCGGAAGUAGCGGUUAUUCCGAACCACGUAAAUUAUGGUGUCUUCUCCAUUUUACAUUCAUCAAUACUUCCAAUUGGUUGUUGUGGUUGUGUCGCAUCCCUAGGUUCUGGGGUCUUCCGCUGUUUAAACCCCAACAACUGGUAUCAAAGCCGAAUUGGUGUUUCUUGUCCGGUGUUUGAGAAUUCGGGUUUUCAUUUACAUCACCAUGAAGGCAACGAUCAACUCUCAGUUUCUGCGAACGAUUAAUGGAAAUAGUAGCUUUACUCUAUGGCAACGAAGGUAAAAGAUAUCCUUGUUCAACAGGGCCCUUGGCUAGGCGUUGAAAGGAAGGCGUCAAAACCGAGACGAUGAAAGAGAUGAUUGGGAAGAGUUUGUGAUGAAAUGUGUGAGCAUGAUUCUGCCCUGUAUUGCUGCUAAAUUAUCAACAAUGUUAUGGAUGAGGAUCGGCAUCAUCCUUGUGGGAGAAGUUGAAAAACUCUAUCUUUCCAAGAGUUUGACCAACAAUUGCAUCUGAAGCGACAAUUAUAUCGCUAAAGAGUAGGAAGGCGGGAGUUCUCAUGGGAAGGCCCCUCGCCAAACAUGAACUGUUCAAUGGUAUUUAGAUCAGCUGCGAAAAUUGAUGUAAAAAUAAUGAAGAAGACAAGGCCCUUUUGCUUCUUACAUCUCUCCUGAUUCGUAUGAUCCGGUGGGUGACAACUCUUUUUAUAUGGGAAAGAAUAUAGUGAGUUUGAAACAAGUGCAUCGUCACUGGUUUCUCAUUGUACUCAAAAAAGGUCAAAUUUUGAGGAUGAGAAAGUGCAGUUCUUGCGUCCAGUGGGAAUCGGGGAAAGAAAUUCGAUGGUAGAUCUGGAUGGAGCAACGGGUCCAGUUCUAAUUCAGAGGAAAGGGUGUACAAUGCUACUAUUGCAAAGAAUUUGGUCAAUGGAAGUCGUGAUUGUCCUUUGCGAAAGGAUGGGCGGAAAUGCGACGACGCUUUCAAUCUGCCUUUCUUUGGUGGUAGCGGAUGAUGGAGAUUGCCUCACAGUCUCUGAAGGUAUUAAGCACGUCUUCUCAUGAUGAUGUGGAUUUUAGAUCGUGUUGCACUAUGCAUGUUUGCUCUAAAAAGGAAAUUUUUGACAUAUUCCAAGAAAGAGAUGGGGGGUCUCUAUUUUUGGGCAGGACUCCAUGUAACAUUUUAAGGUGUCGGGAUGUGAAGAUAAAAUGUUGAUGGAGCGGUUCGUACUUGGGUGGUGUGGUUUAUAUCCCAAGUUACGAAGGAAUCAAUUUUCACUUAGCCGGAUGGACUCCAAGGAUGCAAGUAUUUUGCUUUGAGGUGUGACCAUGAAUAUCACCGCGGCGGCAAGGUUCUAAUGAAGGAGAGAAGUGCGAAGGAUUGUAUCUGUUGAUUGUGCAAAACCAUUUCCUCGACGAAGGUUGGAACGUUUGGGCACAAGGAAGUGGCUACCUAAGGUGUGAGUCUUUGGCGGCAAGACAAAGUUAUGUUCCAAGUUGCCGAUGGAUGUGAGGGUGUAAAGCUCGUUGUAAGAGAGGAUGGUCGAGGUCCUUUUUCGCGUUACAAUGC
rnacentral:lncRNA from 1 species